rnacentral:rRNA from 1 species
GACGAACGCUGGCGGCGUGCUUAACACAUGCAAGUCGAACGGAAAGGCCCUGCUUUUGUGGGGUGCUCGAGUGGCGAACGGGUGAGUAACACGUGGGUAACCUGCCCUUGACUUUGGGAUAACUUCAGGAAACUGGGGCUAAUACCGGAUAGGAGCUCCUGCUGCAUGGUGGGGGUUGGAAAGUUUCGGCGGUUGGGGAUGGACUCGCGGCUUAUCAGCUUGUUGGUGGGGUAGUGGCUUACCAAGGCUUUGACGGGUAGCCGGCCUGAGAGGGUGACCGGCCACAUUGGGGCUGAGAUACGGCCCAGACUCCUACGGGAGGCAGCAGUGGGGAAUAUUGCACAAUGGGCGGAAGCCUGAUGCAGCAACGCCGCGUGCGGGAUGACGGCCUUCGGGUUGUAAACCGCUUUCGCCUGUGACGAAGCGUGAGUGACGGUAAUGGGUAAAGAAGCACCGGCUAACUACGU